AGACGCGUUUAGAUAAUUGGUAAUGCCCUUGCCUGAAAGGCAAUGGGGCGAAGCUAACAUCUGUAGUCUAAUGACUGAACGCCUCUAAGUCAGAAGACAUGCUAGGUGCGGAGUCACUUUCCCAAUGAUGUCACCCGACUAAGGAUACAUCCGCCUGUGUGGAUGCUGGAGCAUAUCCGUUGGUUUCCCCGUUAGGAUCACAAGUCCAAUACGGGUGCCAAGCACGACAAUUCCACUCGUCAUUGGGGUAAAUCCUCUGCAGACGACUUUGUUGCAACUGGGUAUUGUAAGUGGUAGAGUGGCCUUGCUGCUACGAUCCACUGAGAUUCAUCCCGUGUUGCUAUAAGAUUUGU
rnacentral:ncRNA from 1 species